rnacentral:rRNA from 1 species
UAAAGAUUCAUCGGCUGCGGAUGGCCAUGCGGCGCAUUAGCUAGUCGGCGGGGUAACGGCCCACCGAGGCGACGAUGCGUAGGGGUUCUGAGAGGAAGGUCCCCCACACUGGUACUGAGACACGGACCAGACUCCUACGGGAGGCAGCAGUGAGGAAUAUUGGUCAAUGGCCGGGAGGCUGAACCAGCCAAGUCGCGUGAGGGAAGACGGCCCUACGGGUUGUAAACCUCUUUUGUCAGGGAGCAAGAGGCGGGUCGAGACCUGCUGUGAGAGUACCUGAAGAAAAAGCAUCGGCUAACUCCGUGCCAGCAGCCGCGGUAAUACGGAGGAUGCGAGCGUUAUCCGGAUUUAUUGGGUUUAAAGGGUGCGCAGGCGGAGGCACAAGUCAGCGGUAAAAUCGCGGGGCUCAACCCCGCUCCGCCGUUGAAACUGUGUCCCUUGAGUGCGCGAAGGGUAGGCGGAAUGCGUGGUGUAGCGGUGAAAUGCAUAGAUAUCACGCAGAACUCCGAUCGCGAAGGCAGCCUACCGGCGCGCAACUGACGCUCAUGCACGAAAGCGUGGGUAUCGAACAGGAUUAGAUACCCUGGUAGUCCACGCAGUAAACGAUGAAUGCUAUCUGUCCGGCCGGAA